UUUCCGUAGGUGAACCUGCGGAAGGAUCAUUAUUGAAUAAAUAGGAUUGUUGCUGGCCAUCGCAUUGGCAUGUGCACAUCUUACUACCAUCUCACACCUGUGCACCUAUUGUAGAUUCCUAGUGGAUCUAUGUUUUUAUUACACUAUGUUGUAUGUCCUAAGAAUUUUAUUAUUACAACUUUCAGCAAUGGAUCUCUUGGCUCUU
rnacentral:misc_RNA from 1 species